CGCGGUUAUACAAAUAAUACAAAUAAAAUUUUUUUAGUAAUAGUUAAUUAGUAUAAUUAAAUAAAAUUAAAUUAAAUUUUUUAAGUGAAAUUUUAAAUUUAAUUAAUUUUAUAUUUUAAUUUAAUGAAGCUAGGAAAUUUUUUUAAUAAACUAGGAUUAGAUACCCUAUUAUUUAAAAAGUAAAUAUUAAUACUUGAGUAGUAAUAGUUAUGAUCUUUAAACUUAAAGAAUUUGGCGGUGUUUUAGUCUAUUUAGAGGAACCUGUUCUGUAAUCGAUAAUCCACGUUGGACCUUACUAAAAUUUGUUUUCAAUUUGUAUAUCGCCGUUAUCAGAAUAUCUUAGAAGAGGAAUAAUUUUCUUAAUUUAUUAUUGUAAUUGAUGUCAGGUCAAGGUGCAGUUUAUAUUUUAGUAGAAAUGGGUUACAAUAAAUUUAUUUAAACGUUAAAUUAUUUGAAACAAUAAUUUUAAGGUGGAUUUAAAAGUAAAAUAAUGGAUAUAAUUUAUUUGAUUAUAGCUCUAAAACAUGCACAC
rnacentral:rRNA from 2 species